UCAUCGUAGGUUGUGAACAGCUGCUAGUGACAAUUCAAUGUCUUCCAGUUCUCAGUGAAUUACAUAUCGAUGGAUGUAGAAGGGUGGUGUUCAGCAGCCUAAUCAACUUCAGCUCAUUGAAAUCAAUAUUUUUAAGGGAUAUAGCAAAUCAAGUGGUUUUAGCUGGUCUAUUUGAGCAAGGGCUACCUAAAUUGGAAAACUUACAGAUUUGUUAUGUUCACGAGCAAACAUAUUUAUGGCAGAGUGAAACUCGGUUAUUGCAUGACAUUAGCUCCCUUAAUCAGCUGCAGAUUUCAGGAUGUUCCCAACUUCUUUCCUUGGUAACAGAGGAAGA
rnacentral:lncRNA from 1 species